rnacentral:rRNA from 1 species
CCUACGGGAGGCAGCAGUGGGGAAUAUUGCACAAUGGGGGGAACCCUGAUGCAGCCAUGCCGCGUGAAUGAAGAAGGCCUUCGGGUUGUAAAGUUCUUUCGGUGAUGAGGAAGGCGGUUGUUUUAAUAGAACAAUCGAUUGACGUUAGUCACAGAAGAAGCACCGGCUAACUCCGUGCCAGCAGCCGCGGUAAU